rnacentral:rRNA from 1 species
AUCAUGGCUCAGGAUGAACGCUAGCUACAGGCUUAACACAUGCAAGUCGAGGGAAACGACAUCGAAAGCUUGCUUUUGAUGGGCGUCGACCGGCGCACGGGUGAGUAACGCGUAUCCAACCUGCCCGUCACUUGGGGAUAACCUUGCGAAAGUAAGACUAAUACCCGAUGAUAUCCCUAGAAGACAUCUGAAAGGGAUUAAAGAUUUAUCGGUGAUGGAUGGGGAUGCGUCUGAUUAGCUUGUUGGCGGGGUAACGGCCCACCAAGGCAACGAUCAGUAGGGGGUUCUGAGAGGAAGGUCCCCCACAUUGGAACUGAGACACGGUCCAAACUCCUACGGGAGGCAGCAGUGAGGAAUAUUGGUCAAUGGGCGAGAGCCUGAACCAGCCAAGUAGCGUGCAGGAUGACGGCCCUAUGGGUUGUAAACUGCUUUUAUAAGGGAAUAAAGUGGGUCACGUGUGACUUUUUGCAUGUACCUUAUGAAUAAGGACCGGCUAAUUCCGUG